rnacentral:miRNA from 1 species
CACUGGGUAUGGUAACAUACCUGUAACCUCAGCACUUGGGAGGCUGAGGCAGGAGGA